rnacentral:tRNA from 2 species
UGGAGAAAUGUCCGAGUGGUUGAAGGAGCACGCCUGGAAAGCGUGUAUAGGGUUCACGCUCUAUCAUGGGUUCAAAUCCCAUUUUCUCCGCCAA